AGCUCUCUAAGUGUCAGUGAAAAUGCAGCCAUCUAAGCAUGUGGGAGUGUUUUACGUGUUUGCGCAUACGAGAGUAAAGGGUUCUGAGUCGAGAGUGCGGCUGAAAGCCUCAAACUAUCGGAGCUCCAUUAGCUCCACCGGGCUCUUAAGACCGUGAAGGGCACAUGGGACCAUCUCCCGUUACACUCCCCCACAUCCAAGAGGAUCGAUUUCUGGGCUAGGGUUCACUCUCCCGGGCCUCUAAUGGCAGACGAAGCCGGAGCCAGUGGUAACACUAUACAUGCUGACGAGCGGCCGCCCAGGAGAGCGGAGGAGAGGGGAGAGGGAAGGGAGUGGUGAGCGGUGGAAGGAAGGGAAGGGGGCAGCGCGGAGAGCGGUGGAAGAUGAAAGCGGCCGGUACCCGGCACACUGGGGUUUAAAUUGACCUCGGCUCGAAGGUGGAGAGCACACGGGAGAAGAGAGCAGGGACGGGGGUAGAGUUGAGGAAAAAGGGAGAGCAAGACGGAGGAAGAGAAGGGCCCCUUCUUGAUCAACAGCUCUCUGAGACGGGAUCCAACAGCACAGAGAGCAGAUGGGACACAAACUUCACUACUUAAAGAAUGGGAAAAGUGGUCGGAGGAAAGCUCACGCAUGGCUGAACAGUGAGUGCGACCGACCUGUCAAAGGAGUGGAACUGCAUGGGCAGCAUGGGGUGCGUCUUCAGCGCCGGGUCGGGAUGGUAGGGCGUCGGCCCGGACUCCUGUCCCAAGUCCCCACCGUCAACGGGAGCCGCCACCAAGCUCUUCAGGAUCUCCUGCAUUAAAAAACAAAACAAAAAAACAGAUGCGGUGACAACAGUGCCGAGCCCGAGCCCCAGACCCAUCUCCGAGCCGUUCAGGGAUCCGGCCACGUGGCCCUCCUCCCCAAUGCCCGAGUCCGUGUGAGGGAGGCCUGCCCGGGGGGAGUCAUCCACAGGGGUGGGGGUCUGCUUGUCCCGAUCAGAAAAGCCCGUGGACGGGUGCUCUGCGGGAAAGAUGGAAGAAAUAGAAGAUGCCACGUGUGUUUUCGAGGAUAAACAGUGACAGAACAGUAUUUAUUUGUGUAAAAUGCCUUAAGAAUUUCAACUUCUCAAAGGAUGAAUUAUUUCCCAUUC